UAGAUGUUGUACAUAGCUGCUGCUCACUCUGCUGCUGCUUCCCCCUCCUUCCUUUCUGCGGCGGUGAUCGGACGUCUUUGCUUGGUGAGGCGGUUGACAGUACUGCAUGUAUUCUUGGCUAUCGUGCCAUGGCUGUGUCACAGAGCUAUAAUGAGGACUACAUUAAAUGCGUCUUGCAUGCAAUUGUCACUACUUCUGCCGAGGUCGGUCCCUCUCCUUGUUCGGGUGGAGUUCGGGGGUCGAUGUCACCAGUCUUCUAGCCAUCUCUGAUCCAGCUUUCAUUUUCCAUGGGUUUUUCUUUAUUUUCUACACAUCUGGUUUUCAAUAUCCAAUUACAUGUUCAUAUAUUCAACCCUCUGUUUCCCCCAUGUUUGUUGUGCGUGAUUAUUUCUAUGUUCAGUUUGGUUAUGAUGGCUGGUUUUUCAACGGGUGCUGUGUUCACCCGUGCAUAAUAUUUAUCCUUGGUUAUUGGCAAGUGUAUUUCUUUACCGUGUGCCUUUAUUUUUUGAGUAAAGUACAUUGCACUCAUUUUGCUCUCCUGCGCCUCACUUAAUUCACAAGCUACACUCACCUUCUGACAGCAAUGGGCAUAAACAACUGGUCUUGCGAUAUAUAUAGGUUGUUAUCUUUUCAUUUUUUCAAAAAUGUUUGAACAAUUGAAUC